AGAAGCAAAACCUUAAAACUCAUAGCUAUUUCAUGAAUUAUGGUCUAUUGUUUUUUCUUAUUGCGAAACUUUCAAUCCAUGCCUUGUGGUUCAUUGUUUCCUUUUUCAUGUGAUGUCGUUGAAGGAUAUAAAUAAGUUUUUAAUUUGAAGCAAAACCUGUAAUUCAUACCAUCAGUCACUAAUGCUAUGUGAAAGAACGUUAUCAUUUUGCAUGAAAAAUCGUUAGUCAUUGAUUAACAGAAGAAUACAAUUUUUUCUUUGUUAUAAUAUUUUAAUUUGCCCAACAGUGAAUCCGAAUUCUUCUACUUUUUGGAGAGACACAUGAUAAGCCCUUUCAUACUCAAUCCUAUCCAUGUAUGACCUAAGUAUGACGACCGAAGAAAAGGUACCUCCUUGAACCAUUGCAGACUUCAUCUCAUUUACCUCUAGUGUUAUGUUACUCAAAUAGUGCAGUGACUGACCACUGAGGCUAUUAUAAAGUGUGCCUAUCAUACGAAUCCUCAUUCAGCAUAGUUGGUAAGGAAUUAUGCCUUUAAAAUGGUUGCCCCCAAGUAGAAUAAUGCUUAAGCUCGAUAGGUAGCCAAUCCAUUGAGGGAUACUAUGAAUUUAUUCUCUAAGAUCCUACAAAAAAUAAAAUCUCUGGGAACGAAUAAAAUCGGAAGGUAAAGGCAAUAUUUUGGUCACCAAAGACCGUUACCAAAAUAUUAUGGUCCCUAAUUCAUAGUCAGUGGAUGUCUUUGGUGACCAAUGACAAGUGGUCACUGAAUUGUAUAUAUUCAAUGACCAAAACAUUGGUCAGUAACAUGCUCGGUUUAGGGUAAAAAGUUGGUUAAUUUGCAUCCUUUUGCAAUCAAAUGUUGGUUGGUAAAAGCAUUAGUAAUUAAAAAUUACCAUAUUUCAACAAACAAUAUUUGGUGGGUGAAGAUAUACUAACAACGACCAUAUAUUGGUCUUUGAAGAAUAGUUGAUAAAAAAUAAUACCUGUCACCGGGCAGAAGGCAUUUACCGGCCAACAUCUAGUUGCUGCAUACUAAUAUAGUAAAACACAAUUAACAACCAAUAUUUGGUCUGCUAAUAUUUUGAUUAAUAGUUUAGGUAGAUUUUGAGCAACCACAAGUUAUUUGCUAUAACUUAUUAAUAGUUUUUCAAUUAAUUAAUAUAAUAAAGAAUGCAUAAGAGAAAAUAACUAAAAUAAAGAAAUUAACAAUAAACAUACAACGGUAACUACAAAAGCAUAAUUACUACCAAGUUUGUUGUGAUCACUGAAACCCACCAUUCACAAACUGCAAAAAAGCGGGGUUUUUCCCCCAGGCUAUCAACGACAACAAAGUGGUUGUUGCAGGAUAUAGCUCCACUGACCAAGUUCAAUUUGGUCAUUGAAAUACUCAUUAAUUAACACGCAACACAAAGGCAGGAUUUUAGGCGGGAUCAAAUAAUCCCGCCCUAAUUAUUAGCGACGAACCAAAUGCACUCUAAUUUUCUAUAAUAAUUGUAGAAAAAAAUCCAACUUGAAUACAAUUGGCAUGAAAAUGAUCUUUUGAAUCUUAAAUAGAGUUUAUUCGGAGCAAUUGAAAAUUAACUAGAGUGCAUAUGAACAAUUAUAAGAAUUAAUAAAGCAUUUAGAAAAAAUUCAUAAAAUUUGGGAGUUCAAUUUUAGACUAGUCAGUUCGCGUCUUGGGUUUAUUCGUUAAAAUUUACUCAAUCCAACCCAACCCAACCCAACCCAAUCCAAUAAAUUAAAAAAUAUUACAGAAAAAUAGUACUUAAAAACCUAAAAAUCAAUUUCAAACUAUUCAGUUUUCAAUUUUCUUCUGUGCCUCUCGUCUCUUCCACCUCUCAUAUUCUCUCACUUCUGCUCGUGCCUCAGUCUCUCGUCUCACUUUUUUGACGUGAUUUUUGUGCUAAAUGCUUGGAUUGAAGGACGAGAUUCCCAAUUACAAGGUUUGCUGAACUUAAAAUUAAAGUUGUUGUUUAAUUAUCCAACUUGAAGGAAUUGUAUGGAGUAAGCGUAUGGUAUUGAUUUUUUUCCUGUAUAGUUGGCAAUCCCAUUCUUUAGAAUAUAUUAUAUAUCCCUUGAAAUUUGAUAUUAAAAAAUGCAUCUACCGAGAGAAUAUUCAAUUGAUCACUGGAGGUAACCUGGUUAUUGUUUAUAUCAUUAAAUCCGUAUAACAAUUACUCACCGACAGCCGGAAACAAUUCUAUAUUUUAUUAAUUCAUUUGUCCAUUCCAGUUUUACAUUAGUUUGGACGUCAAAACUCUGAAUAAUUGAAUUAAUAUUUGGGUUCUGUGUUUUGCUUUCGGGAGUUCUUAGUUGUUUGGGGGGAAAAAAAAUUAAAAACUGCUGUAUAUUCAUUUAGCUCACUUUGGUUUAAUUUGUUCAUUUUAUUGUUGUUGUUGUUUAAGAAAGUUGAUUAAUAAUAUCUAACAAAGAUGAUAACUGAUAUUAAUUGGUUAUCAACAUUAUAUCAUUAUGAAGUUGAUUACAUUUUAAUUAUAGUUAGAAUGCCUUGUGAAAUUAAUUGAUGUUAGACUAAAUAGAUACAUUACUGGAGACAAAAGAAUGGCUUAAAAUGUAUAAUUGUUCCUUUUUUCUAGACAUGGUUAGUUGCAGGAAUACUAUGUACAAAUACAAAGUUAUUUGAUGAUAAACUAAAAAUUAUUGGCAAGAUGAUGAUAUGAAUGAAUCUAAAAAAAUUUGUAAAAAAAAAUAAAUAAUGUUCCAUAAGUCUGGUGUUUAUCUUCUUAUUUUAUCAUCGCAAAAAAUGUGAUUCGUUCUAGACUGCAAUAUGUCUAACGAAUAUCGAAGAUGUAAAUAUGAAUACCAUGAGAAUGGUUUAAUGUAAAAUAGUGCACUUGCAGUACAUUAUGAGUAGAUACGAGAUUGCAAUUGGAAGUGCAUGAAUAUGAUAAAUAUUAUUACCAGUGUUUGUGCAUUGUGACUAUUAUCCUUUUGUAUAGUUUGGAGCUUCCAACCACACGUCUGUUGAAGUUUGUAAAGCACAUAUUCUUUAAAUUCAGUUUAUUUCAUGGUGGUAAUAAUAAUCUUUUUUUCUUGUGGUGAUACUAAUGCAAGUUAACGUGUUUUGUUGUUAUUUGCAAAAGCCUCAAGUAAAAUGGACAAUAUUCUUGCUUUCUUAUGGUGCAUUAAUACUUUUGUAGUUUUAUUUGUUUGAUUAGUACUUUUUGGUGGAAUAUGUUGGUAGAUAUCAAUAUGUGUGAAGAAAAUGACAUGCCAGCUCAAUUAUAUGACACAUAUAUGCUAUCAAGUCUUCCUCCACAUCCACUAUCAGCAUUAGGAAAGUGAAAAUUUAAUGGAAUAGCUUCACGUCUGUGAUUUUUUUGCAUUAUUGUGUCCAAGGGAUGACCCAAAUGUUAGGCGUAAGUGUAACUAGUAUGGAGUAGAUUAUGCUUGUGGCUAGAAGUAUGGUACAAGCACUUUGGGUACCCACUUCAUGAAUAAUUGUAAGAAGUAUUCUGGUCUAUUGCAGGACAAGAAGCAAAACAUCAUAUCUUUUGAGAAUCGAAAAGAGGGUAAUGGGAGCAAUCUUAUAGCUAUUGGUCAUAGUAAGGAAGAGGUCAGAG
rnacentral:lncRNA from 1 species